ACUUACCUGAGGUCACAUAGUCAGCUUCACCUGAUUGUCAGGAAAGUAACCCUGUGAACCCUAGCUGGGGAGAAGAACCUAAAGGCAAGAGAGAGAACCGUUCUAUAGGACCCGGGAGGAUUUGCCAUCAUCUGAAGGAAGACUGAAUCUUGUCUGCUCUGGGGAGGCACGGAGGAGCCUGUGACUUGUGAGUUCCAGUAAUCAUUGUACAUCUCUGCUUCUGCCUUUGCCAAUGAGCCUGAUUUUAGGCAGAGAAAGAAGAUUCUGCCUAACAAAGUAGAGACAGGUAUCCUGGAGUUCAUGAAAGACGUGUAGCUGAUUCAGCGCUGCCCUUGAAGUAAACCUGACCAUCUCAUUUCCAACUUCUUUUUGGAUGAAGUCUAACUCAAGAUCUCAUGCAAUUGACUCCC